rnacentral:lncRNA from 1 species
GCUGUCUCUGCUUGGUGCACCCCAGGCCUCGGUGACCUUCCUGAACACCCAGGAGAACCAGGCCAUGGCAAGGAGCCUCUGGGCUGUGCCUUCUUUGGGGAAAGAGCAAGAACCCUCUGACGAGAGCCAAAACCAACAAAAAUCCAACCAGCACACCAGAUAAGUAUUGAGGCGCUGCUAUGGGGGCCCUGCUAGGAGGAUUUCCCUGGACUCAACGGGUUCCUGUCCAAGGUCCUUUCAUUAUCCUUCUUCGCCGAUGGAGAACUGAGAUCCAGAGAGUUUAACUAACUCACCCAAGAUCACAUCAGCUACUGGGGUGGAAGUAGGAGCUGAUCCCAGACCAACUUGCUCAGGAAGAAAGGUUUUCUCCUGUGUUGGAUAUGGUAGAGCCUCCGUACAUACCAGGUUCAUCUGAAUUCUCAGCCUCAGCUGCGGUCACGCGCAUCACCAGCUUCUCACCUCCCAAAUCACACCAAAGAAGAAUAAAAUAGGCAUCCAUCGGAAAUUCCCGUCUGCUUUCGACACACAUUUUUGUAAAUUCCACUUGGUGUUAAUGGGCCCAGUCAAAAGGCAGGACUGUUGGACGCCAGUGUUCCUUAUUCGACCAUCUGUCGAUCAAAGUGACCACACAAACCCCGCUUUGCCGUCGCAGUACCUCCACAGCAACGCCACGGUUCUCCCUCUUCCUCUCACACGCUUCUCCCCAUCCCACCUGGGUCCUGCCGCCUCCUCCCGAGAGCAAACGUGGAGCUAUUUGUCCAAGCGUCAUAUGCGAGCCGCAGGAGACGCUCAUAAAUCCCUGCCCUGUUCUCUGGCAGUUUCAGACGUUGUCGGGCCCAGACCCUCCUUUUCUUUCUUAAAGGUCACAAAAUCUAAUUAGAACCAUUGCUAACUGUAUAUUCUCGUUGUCGGUAAGCCUUAAAUAAUAAAAAUCAGACCAAAUGAGACUAAGCAAGGGAGAUGGAAAAUCGAUGUCAUAUUUGUUCCAAGUAAUUUCCCUUCAGAAGAGAAAAGGCUCUUAGGACUGGUUUGUGAAUUUAAAAGAUGUUUAAAGUUGCAUCUAGGCAUCGGAACAUCAAAGUCAACCCCAAACAGAAUUUCGCUGGAUGAUCUCUCCUUAUUCCCGGAAAAGUCAGUGCUGUUUGGUAGAAGGGCCUAAGACGGGGUGACAGCCUUCCUCUUCCUGUCUGUUUUAAGCAGUUGUGGCUUUGCCAAAAAUAAAAAUAAUUUCUUUGAAAAACCGAUCCCUUAAGGAGCAAAGAGUAAUAACAUACGAGGUUCUUUUCCCUUACUUCACUAUUUUUCUGCAUACUUUCAACUAAAAUGCACACUUAAGAAAAAAACCUAAAUAAUAAGAAUGCAACCCGCACACACUCACACAUGCAUAGUGAGGACGAGGAAUGAACUGCCCCUGGAAAUGCUUAUCUUUUUGCCUGAAAUACCCCAAAAAGGUUGAUUAAC